rnacentral:rRNA from 1 species
CAGCACCUCAAGUGGUCAGGAUGAUUAUUGGGCCUAAAGCAUCCGUAGCCGGCUCUGUAAGUUUUCGGUUAAAUCUGUACGCUCAACGUACAGGCUGCCGGGAAUACUGCAGAGCUAGGGAGUGGGAGAGGUAGACGGUACUCGGUAGGAAGGGGUAAAAUCCUUUGAUCUAUUGAUGACCACCUGUGGCGAAGGCGGUCUACCAGAACACGUCCGACGGUGAGGGAUGAAAGCUGGGGGGAGCAAACCGGAUUAGAGACCCGUGUAGUCC